AUGGGUGAUGGGCACUUUUGUGCCCGACCUCCAACCCUGUGUCUACCUUACCGCGUUGCUUUGGCGGGCCCGCCCUCCGGGGCCGCCGGGGGCCUCUGUGCCCCUGGCCCGUGCUCGCCAGUGGCCUCUUAAAAUUCUAUGUGAAUCGUGUCGUCUGAGUAUCAAGUUUAAAUCGUUUUA
rnacentral:misc_RNA from 1 species